rnacentral:tRNA from 1 species
UCCUCCGUAGCUCAGCGGUAGAGCGGUCGGCUGUUAACCGAUUGGUCGCUGGUUCGAAUCCAGCCGGGGGAG